UGCGUAGGUGGUAUCGUAUGUCGGAUGUGAAAGCCCAUGGCUCAACUGUGGAAUUGCAUUCGAAACUGCGGAACUAGAGUACAGGAGAGGAGAGCGGAAUUCUUGGUGUAGCGGUGAAAUGCGUUGAUAUCAAGAAGAACACCGGCGGCGAAGGCGGCUCUCUGGAAUGUUACUGACACUGAGGCACGAAAGCUGGGGGAGCAAACAGGAUUAGAUACCCUGGUAGUC
rnacentral:rRNA from 1 species